AGAGUUUGAUCCUGGCUCAGAUUGAACGCUGGCGGCAUGCCUUACACAUGCAAGUCGAACGGUAACAGGUUAAGCUGACGAGUGGCGAACGGGUGAGUAAUGUAUCGGAACGUGCCCAGUCGUGGGGGAUAACUGCUCGAAAGAGCAGCUAAUACCGCAUACGACCUGAGGGUGAAAGCGGGGGAUCGCAAGACCUCGCGCGGUUGGAGCGGCCGAUAUCAGAUUAGGUAGUUGGUGAGGUAAAGGCUCACCAAGCCGACGAUCUGUAGCUGGUCUGAGAGGACGACCAGCCACACUGGGACUGAGACACGGCCCAGACUCCUACGGGAGGCAGCAGUGGGGAAUUUUGGACAAUGGGCGCAAGCCUGAUCCAGCCAUGCCGCGUGCGGGAAGAAGGCCUUCGGGUUGUAAACCGCUUUUGUCAGGGAAGAAAAGGUUCUGGCUAAUACCUGGGACUCAUGACAGUACCUGAAGAAUAAGCACCGGCUAACUACGUGCCAGCAGCCGCGGUAAUUC
rnacentral:rRNA from 1 species